rnacentral:rRNA from 1 species
GACGAACGCUGGCGGCGUGCUUAACACAUGCAAGUCGAACGGAAAGGCCUGCUUUCCCUUGUGGAUUGCGGGUACUCGAGUGGCGAACGGGUGAGUAACACGUGAGUGAUCUGCCCCCAACUUGGGUAUAAGCCUGGGAAACUGGGUCUAAUUCCCGAUAGGACUGCAGGGUGGUGCCUGUGGUGGAACACGAUUUUCUAGUGGUUGGGGAUGAGCUCGCGGCCUAUCAGCUUGUUGGUGGGGUAAUGGCCUACCAAGGCGGCGACGGGUAGCCGGCCUGAGAGGGUGGACGGCCACAUUGGGACGGAGAUACGGCCCAGACUCCUACGGGAGGCAGCAGUGGGGAAUAUUGCACAAUGGGCGGAAGCCUGAUGCAGCGACGCCGCGUGGGGGAUGACGGCCUUCGGGUUGUAAACUCCUUUCGACCGCGAGGAAGCCACCUGGUUGGAAGGGUGGUGACGGUAGUGGUAGAAGAAGCACCGGCUAACUACGUG